CCUACGGGACGCAGCAGUGGGGGAUAUUGCACAAUGGGGGGAACCCUGAUGCAGCGACGCCGCGUGGGUGAAGAAGCGCCUCGGCGCGUAAAGCCCUGUCAGCAGGGAAGAAAAUGACGGUACCUGAAGAAGAAGCCCCGGCUAACUACGUGCCAGCAGCCGCGGUAAUACGUAGGGGGCAAGCGUUAUCCGGAUUUACUGGGUGUAAAGGGAGCGUAGACGGUUCUGCAAGUCUGAAGUGAAAGCCCGUGGCUUAACCGCGGAACGGCUUUGUAAAAUGUGGAACGGGAGUGCUGGAGAGGCAA
rnacentral:rRNA from 1 species